GACAGCGUAGCUCAGUUGGCAGAGCAUUGAACUAGUAUCCCAAAGGUCGCGGGUUCGAUUCCCACCGUGGCCA
rnacentral:tRNA from 1 species